rnacentral:rRNA from 1 species
UAGGGAAUCUUCGGCAAUGGACGAAAGUCUGACCGAGCAACGCCGCGUGAGUGAAGAAGGUUUUCGGAUCGUAAAACUCUGUUGUUAGAGAAGAACAAGGACGUUAGUAACUGAACGUCCCCUGACGGUAUCUAACCAGAAAGCCACGGCUAACUACGUGCCAGCAGCCGCGGUAAUACGUAGGUGGCAAGCGUUGUCCGGAUUUAUUGGGCGUAAAGCGAGCGCAGGCGGUUUCUUAAGUCUGAUGUGAAAGCCCCCGGCUCAACCGGGGAGGGUCAUUGGAAACUGGGAGACUUGAGUGAAGAAGAGGAGAGUGGAAUUCCAUGUGUAGCGGUGAAAUGCGUAGAUAUAUGGAGGAACACCAGGGGCGAAGGCGGCUCUCUGGUCUGUAACUGACGCUGAGGCUCGAAAGCGUGGGGAGCAAACAGG